GACGAAGGGGGCUAGCGUUGUUCGGAAUUACUGGGCGUAAAGGGCUCGUAGGUGGCCAACUAAGUCGGACGUGAAAUCCCUCGGCUUAACCGGGGAACUGCGUCUGAUACUGGAUGGCUUGAGUUCGGGAGAGGGAUGCGGAAUUCCAGGUGUAGCGGUGAAAUGCGUAGAUAUCUGGAGGAACACCGGUGGCGAAGGCGGCAUCCUGGACCGACACUGACGCUGAGGAGCGAAAGCCAGGGGAGCAAACGGG
rnacentral:rRNA from 1 species